AACGUAGGACACAAGCGUUAUCCGGAGUUACUGGGCGUAAAGGGCGUGUAGGCGGACGUGUAAGUCUAUUCUGAAAGCUCCUGGCUAAACUGGGAGAGGCGAAUGGAGACUGCAUAUCUAGAGUGAGGAAGAGGAAAGUGGAAUUCCGCGUGUAGUGGUGAAAUGCGUAGAGAUCGGGAAGAACAUCGGUGGCGAAAGCGCUCUGCUGGACUGCAACUGACACUCAGGGACGAAAGCUAGGGGAGCGAAUGGG
rnacentral:rRNA from 1 species